UGGAACGUAGCUCAGAGGUAGAGCAAUGGCUUGUGUCCUAAGUGAAGGUUCGAGUCCUUCCGUUCCGA
rnacentral:tRNA from 1 species